GAGAUAUUAGUAAAAUGAUUACAUAACCUUGUCAAGGUUAAAUUAUAGACUUGAAUCUAUAUAUCUUA
rnacentral:tRNA from 1 species